rnacentral:rRNA from 1 species
UAGGUUAACGAGGCGAACCGGGGGAACUGAAACAUCUAAGUACCCCGAGGAAAAGAAAUCAACCGAGAUUCCCCCAGUAGCGGCGAGCGAACGGGGAGCAGCCCAGAGUCUGAAUCAGCUUGUGUGUUAGUGGAACGGUCUGGAAAGUCCGACGGUACAGGGUGAUAGUCCCGUACACCAAAAUGCACAGGCUGUGAACUCGAAGAGUAGGGCGGGACACGUGGUAUCCUGUCUGAAUAUGGGGGGACCAUCCUCCAAGGCUAAAUACUCCUGACUGACCGAUAGUGAACCAGUACCGUGAGGGAAAGGCGAAAAGAACCCCGGCGAGGGGAGUGAAAAAGAACCUGAAACCGUGUACGUACAAGCAGUGGGAGCACCUUCGGGUGUGACUGCGUACCUUUUGUAUAAUGGGUCAGCGACUU